rnacentral:lncRNA from 1 species
AGACUACAAGUCUCUUUAAACUAGAAAAAGGAAGGAGCUCCACUAAGCAAAAAACUGGAUCAAUACAACCUCACAGCACGCCAUAGGGAUCUGUGUACAGAGAAGGACCAUGCUUGUGGCUUUUGUUUCCUCCCCCACCUCCCUCUGCUUUUCUUAUUGAUCCUUAAACCCUGCUAAAACCUUGGUUAAGAGACACAGAGAUAAGGUAGCAUCAUACUCGCAGAGUUGGCCAGGGUAGAAACCUUGAAAGCAAUAGAAUUAAUGGCGGUGCUGUCACUGGAGAAGAGGCCCUUUCCAUCUCCUUGCCUUGUGGUAGGAAUCAAGGAGGAGGAUAUUUGCUAUGGUAGCCAAAACAAGGUUGCUACUUGCACAGUCUCGUGUCUACGAGAAAGAUUGAAAGGGAGGACAACUGUCCAACCAGUCACUCCGGAACAGCAGUACUAUCUCUGCAUCAGUCUGCAGUGCAAUCCAAGGCUACUGAUCAAAUCUCCUGUCAUGCUCCUUCUCCCUUCCUCCUUCAAUGUCACAAAAAGAUUAGAAGAGAGAGAGAGAGAAGAGAGAGAGAGUUUAUACUAAAGAUACAACUUUGACGUAUAGUGAAUUCAAAUGUAACUUCUCAUACGUAUCUUUAGGUAGUACCUGUAGUCAACAGCUGCUUCCAAGUAAAGUGAGAUGUGGGUCUUCAUGAUAAGCUUGAUGUAUUCCGGGAAUGAUGAGAGAAGUGCCUAAAAGCACGAAAGAAAAGCUUCUCUGGGAUAGGAGAGCAUCAAUGUACUUAGAUCUCUAUAGAAUACAGUAUCUUAAGAUAAGUUUGGUCCAGGAUUACAUCAAGCAAAUCAUACUGUCAUCUCCAUCAAUCCUUAUCAGAACUAAAUUACUUGCAUAGGAGUGGUAACAUGACAUUAUUCAACAAGUUCAUCCUAAUGAUGCCUCCUCCUUAGCUGGUUUCAGCACUAGGUAGACAUUUACACCUGGGACUUUUGGAUGCAAGUUGCCAGGUCCCAUCGAGCUUCUAAUACAAUUCUUAAAAGGAAGCAAUGAGCAUUGUUCUCAUCUCCUUUGUUUCCUGAUUGAUUUCUUGGGCCCUAGGCUAUAUGUUGGAUGGUGAUGUUAUUAUGCAGGCUAUGGAGAUUCCGUGGCUUCUAUCAAGGCUUUUUUGUUAUGCAUGCAGAUGUGCAUGGUGUUCAUGGAGACAGAUUUUCUAGUGAGAAUGAUUUGGGAUCAGAAAAAAAGUAGAUGGGAUGAAGAUAGAAUGGUAAGAGGAAUGAGGGGAAGGGAGUUUCAACGUACAGAAAUCAAUGGCCGUCAUCCUUCUCCCCAUCGCUUUUCUGAUUACUGCAAUGAUGAGUGCAUUCACCAAUAUGAUGCCUCCUAACUUGGAGCAAUGUCCCCAUCAUUCCAUGCCUCCUUCGAACCCCUUUAGCAGGGGAUAAAUGGUGGAGGUUAAUUGGUGUCGUCCUUCUUCGCUCGUGCUUCCUUCGGUCCAAGUUCCUCUCCCUUUCCGAGGAUGCAAGUCAAACUACACAUACCACAUGAAAACAAGGCAAACUGUGAGUCCAUAACUAGUCUGAAAUAGAAGUAAUGUGUGCUAGAUGACAUACCUCAAUGUUGGAGGACAACAGACAUGAUCACAAAGCAGGAGGCUGUGAUCCGUAGCAGUGAUGUUGUUUCAGUAAUGUGCUUGUAUGAAAGACUCCUUUGUUUCUGAAACUUGCAGAAAAUAAGGCCUUUGCUUUCAGAAAUCAAAUCUGAAAAUACCAUAGUGUUGGAAAAAGGAAAAGACAACAGAGAGAGAGAGAGAGUCAGCAGCCAUGACUGCCACUGCUAACCUAUGAGGUUUUGGUCUUCUUAGUUCCAUAAAGAACAAAGAGGAGCAUAAUUCGAUCACUAGCCAUAAACCUUUCGUUCACAGUGUGGAAAAUUUUGCAUGUAUUAUAAGGCUAAUCUCUUG